GAUGAACGCUGGCGGCGCGCCUAACACAUGCAAGUCGAACGGUUAAAGCAUCUUCGGAUGUGCAUAAAGUGGCGAACGGCUGAGUAACACGUGGGCAACCUGCCCCUCGCAUCGGGACAGCCUCGGGAAACCGUGGUUAAUACCGGAUACUCCGCCACCCCCGCAUGGGGGAGGCGGGAAAGCCCAGACGGCGAGGGAUGGGCCCGCGGCCUGUUAGCUUGUUGGUGGGGCAGUGGCCCACCAAGGCGAUGAUGGGUAGCCGGGUUGAGAGACCGACCGGCCAGAUUGGGACUGAGACACGGCCCAGACUCCUACGGGAGGCAGCAGUGGGGAAUCUUGCACAAUGGGCGAAAGCCUGAUGCAGCGACGCCGCGUGCGGGACGAAAGGCCCUUCGGGUCGUAAAACCCGCUUUUCAAGCAAGGGA
rnacentral:rRNA from 1 species